AUACGGAGGAUCCGAGCGUUAUCCGGAUUUAUUGGGUUUAAAGGGUGCGCAGGCGGCCAUUUAAGUCAGCGGUGAAAGUCUGUGGCUCAACCAUAGAAUUGCCGUUGAAACUGGGGGGCUUGAGUAUGUUUGGGGCAGGCGGAAUGCGUGGUGUAGCGGUGAAAUGCUUAGAUAUCACGCAGAACCCCGAUCGCGAAGGCAGCCUCCCAAGCCAUGACUGACGCUGAUGCACGAAAGCGUGGGGAUCGAACAGGAUUAGAUACCCUGGUAGUCCACGCAGUAAACGAUGAUCACUAGCUGUUUGCGAUACACAGUAAGCGGCACAGCGAAAGCGUUAAGUGAUCCACCUGGGGAGUACGCCGGCAACGGUGAAACUCAAAUGAAUUGGCGGGG
rnacentral:rRNA from 1 species